GUUGACCUCAGAUCAGGUAGGAAUACCCGCUGAACUUAAGCAUAUCAAUAAGCGGAGGAAAAGAAACCAACAGGGAUUGCCUCAGUAACGGCGAGUGAAGCGGCAACAGCUCAAAUUUG
rnacentral:rRNA from 1 species